ACUAAUAUCUGAAAGGUGAAACGUUUUUAUCAUGUAAAUAAGCGAUUUUAUUCUAGUAUGGUAACGUUAGUUUAAACUCUUGUUAUGAAGUUUUGGUAUGCCGCUUAGCGGAUUAGCAAGCGGCCCACCACUACCUUACCAUUGCUUCCAACUGUAGCUAGCUUUAUUAGUAACAAUUAGCUUAGCUAGAUAGCUAAUGUUAGGCUAGUUUACACACCUGGUUUUAUUAGAGACAGAGUGGCGUUAGCUACUCAUUGUUUCUCUUCUAAUCCACUAAGUUAUAGCUUUAAAUACUGUAGAAAAAACAACGCUUACAACCGUCCUUCAUACAAUUGAGUCGAAAGUAGGUUAAUUUAGCGCUUUUUAGCUAGUUAGCUAAACUAGCGUUAGCUAGCUAACGUUAACUGACAAACUAUGUCUUAGACGACAGUGUUGGUGAAGCAUUAACGAUACUAAUAUCUGAAACCCCAAACGAAGUGUAAAAAGCUAUUUUAAUUAGUUUAUUGUUUUAUUGUUUAUUGUUUUAUUUAGUUUAACUCUUGUUAGGAUGUUUUCUGUGGGUUUUGCGUAACGUUAGCAAAUUAGCAAGGAGCUAGCAUUUCUAUACCAAUGAUAAGCAUAUAAUGCAUAUGGAAGGCACCAGUAGAUGGGGAACAUGAACAGCGAUUUUGAAGAUGGCAUUCUUGAAGACAACUCACUAGGAGCUCUGAGUGACGUUUGGGAUGAAGAGCUGAGUGAUGACCUUUUGCGUAGCGAUGAAGAAGACCUAACUACCAGUGAUGUGGCCUCACAUCUGGGAUGUGAACAAGAGGUUGGAGCCCCUCAUCAUGCUGAGGAACCUAGAAGAUGCACUGGGGAGCAGCAGCAGCAGCAGCAGCCAGGAGAGAAACCGGACCAUGGUGAAGUUUUCGACAUCCCAAUCAAUGACCCUGAUGAAUUUCAAGAACUGACCAGAGAGACAGUUAGACCUCAGCAGCAGAAACAGCAGCAGAGGGAGGAAGAGGAGGAGGAGGAGAACUCCAGAGAUGAAGAAGAAAGCAGCAGUUUACAAGCUUCUGCUGCUGAUACUGUGAUCCACUCAUCAAGUGCAGCCAGUGAAGAGAAGAUCUUAACUGAAGCACUGGGGCUUUGUGAAGAGGCCAGACCAGCAUUUUGGGGACGUUUGAAUAAACAUGAAGGUCUUGCAAGAGAAAGAAGUGGAACACAGAUGGACACGCAGUUUCAUCCCUGCAAUGGAUGCCCUGGUCAAAAAGCCCAAAGGGAAUUUUGUCUCCAAAGCGAUGCUGUUUGCAGCCAAAGCUCUGUCUCCUCUCUACCUCCUCUCCUGAUGGAGCUGCAGUCUACAGGAGCAUCCCCCCAGCAAGUGCCCUUGACGUCUACACAAAGCCCAUCCAAUCCUGCUGUGGAUCCCUCGAGCCUCCAAGUUGUAGCAGACUCUUCCAGGCCUCUUCAUGAACAGACCAUCCCAGCAGGAAGUCAUCCAGUGUUCCCAGGACAGCAUAUGUUCGGUCAGCAGCACCACACCUCAGAGCUGGACGGCAGUCCGCUGCUCCACGACCCUGUCUCCACGGGGGCCGCUGGGCGUCCCGGAUGUUCAGGGGACCCCCGGGGGCCCCUCUGCUCUCCACAGAGAAACCUGGGCUUACCCAGCCUGAACAGUAGCCACCCUGCGCCCUUGUGUGUCCCAGGAGAAGCAUCACUGCAGCCGGUGCCAUCUGUCAUUGCACAGCAUCAGCCAUGUGAUACCGAGCCUUUCCAUCCAGACCAAGCCCUCUCUCUUCUACAAACUCCACCUGUUCUCCACCCUAAUCCAGAGCAGAGCAGCCAAUCAUCUUUAAGCCCUGUGCAAGCCCCUCCUUCUGCCUGGCUACCUUCUGUCAGUGUCGAAUCACAGAGCAGCCCUCUGAGCCGACCUGCCCCUAUUUGCUGUGCGGUCAUCAAGCCCAGAAUGGUCCAGAUUUCUCCUAACGUUAGCCAUGUUCUGAGUGAUCGCCCAGUUUUGGCCCACAACAGCUCCUUCAUUAACGUGGCCCGUCCCACGCCCACUCCUGCCGCGCAAGUCCGGCCCAUUGCCAGAGCCGUUGCCACGGGGAUGCCCGGCGCUGCUAGGCAGCAGGCGAGUGCCAGGGCCGGAGUGUGUGCCAGGGCCGUGCCGGAGCCAGUGCUAGCGGGGAAGAGUCGGGGUCAGGAGGUCAAGGAGGAGCCCCAGUCUCCUCUUAGCUCACUCUCCAAGGAAGAGAGGGAGGAGGAAGAGGAGGAGGAGGCCAUUAAGGGGGACACAGACUCUCUCUGCCAGCACCAGACUGACAAUGACAGUAAAGAUGGUGUUCCAGCUUGGUACAGACUACAGCUGGAGAAGCAGAAGCAUCUGAGGCAAAAGCUCAUUGGUCAGAAGGAGGAGAGGAGGCAACUACAGGCUGAGUACAGAAAGAAACAAAGGCAGGACAAGCUCAAGAAUGCUCUCCAAAACCAUGACCAGAAGCCACAGGAUGGUAGACAGGCCCAGAAUAUCAAGAAACCUUCCCAGAAGCCCCCAGCCUCAAACAUACUACCUCUACUCAGACCUCCACCUAAACCAGGCUACCCUCCAGCAGCACCCUUAGCCCAGUGUCCCGCUGCUGCUCCUGCUGCCCUAGUUGAGCGGGCUGCACCGAGGCAUGGCAACCCGUUUCCUUGGCAUGGUUUUCACGGGCGUGGUGAUGAAGGAUCUGGAGUGUUUUCAGGAGUGCCGGGAGAAAGACAUGGCAGGAGGAGGAGGAGGAAGUGGAUGGCAGGGAAGAGAGUGAUGAAAGAGCUGCCAUCUAAAGUGAAGAUGGUUAAACACAGCAAUAUGGAGAAGGAUGAGGAUGAAAUGAACAUGCGGUUUCCAGCCCAGGUCAGUGAAGGCUCUAGGGUGGUUACCUUCACUCAGAUCCCCUGCUUUGGACCACACACACUCAGACAGGUGUGCCCAAACCUCAGGAGAUAAGCUGUCAGCUACCAGCAACAUGACAAGGUUCGCCUAUGUAGUAAGAAGAGGACCAGCCACUGAUCUAACCAGCACCAAGGCACAAAGAUGGGACACCUAAAACUGUUGGACUUUACUCAACAUUAGGACUUAAAUUUGAUAAUUUAAUAAUUGCACUUCAAACCAAAAAGAACCUUAAUAAUAUAUUUAUGGUAUUUAGUAAUGCAGGAUUUCUUAGUUUAGCAAAAAAAAUUUAGGCUCAAAAUAAAGCCUGACCAAUAGAAAAGCUAAAUGAGACA
ensembl:lncRNA